rnacentral:rRNA from 1 species
UACGUAGGGUGCAAGCGUUGUCCGGAAUUCUUGGGCGUAAAGAGCUCGUAGGCGGCCUGUUGCGUCCGCUGUGAAAGCCCGGGGCUUAACCCCGGGUCUGCAGUGGAUACGGGCUGGCUAGAGGCAGGCAGGGGAGAACGGAAUUCCCGGUGUAGCGGUGAAAUGCGCAGAUAUCGGGAGGAACACCGGUGGCGAAGGCGGUUCUCUGGGCCUGUACUGACGCUGAGGAGCGAAAGCGUGGGGAGCGAACAGG